rnacentral:lncRNA from 1 species
GGCCCCGCCUCCGGCUCUCCGGCCGGCAGGUUGGCUGUCCUGGCCUGACCCUGGGAGACUCCGCUGGGGCCGCCUGUUAUGGUGCUAGCUGCCGUCCCGGUGCGUACUUUCCCAAGGUGAAUUUGACCUUCUUUGCGACAGCUAGGCCCUGACUAAGGUCGACCCACCAAACACUGGAUCGUCCCCAGGCGAAAGAGAGCUUGUUCCCCUCAGCCUGUCGCGGAGGAGCGGAGCCAAUCGAGGGUCUGGUGUCCCCGUCGCCUCUCCAGGGGCAACCUGCGGACUAGGCCAAGGUCUGUAACAGGAUAACGUACCAGCGCCUGGCCCAGGCGUUCCUGCCGCCACCUCCCCGCAUAUCCGGACCGCCGGGACUGCACGCAGCUGGCAAGCGUCCCCCUGUUAACUCUGCAAGGGUGGGGCGGCACCAUUUCUCAGACCAGGUAAGGCAAGAAAACAUGCAAGAGAGAAGAGAGGGAAGCCUAGGCCAAUCGGAAUGAAAAUGUAAACGCCACAACCACGUUUUCAGCUUUACAAAUACUGAAUCUUGUAGUGGGUCUAGUGGGUUAGGGGUUAGCAUGAGCACCCUAAUGGUUGGGAGACAGUUUCAGGGGACUCUUGCAUUUGUGAAGAUGAUCAGUCACAGGCAAUGACUUGAAGCCACGAGGCUUGAAUAUUAAAAUCUGAUGAGCAGAUGUUACACGUAGAAUAAUUACAUAAUAGUUCUCAAAUUCCUGUUAUAUCCAGGAAUAUCUGGUAUGAGUGAAAACUUGGAGGUGCCUUCUCUAAAGUCAUCAGGAAUUCUGAGUUGUGUUUGUAAAAAUAGGAGGCACAAGAGGGCACCAAACUGAACAAAAUGUUAGGUGGAAACUGAAAAACGUUGGUUAGCAUGAACAAUUUCAGUUUUCAGUCACACUGACCAGUAUCUGUAAGUUAGGAUUGAGAUGGGCUUGUUUUAUUUAUUUACUUUUAAAUUUGUGCUGCUACAUAUCCCAAACAAAUGUGGUCUUUAUCAUCACUGGCAAGCCAUUUUACUUAUUGGUUAAGCUGGAAUUUUAUUACACCACCCCAGCAAGAUAGAGGAGAAAAGCGAAAAUUAAGUAGUAAAUGGUUAUUAUGCCUUAAGGGAAGGUGUGAACUGGCAAGACAAAAGAGCCAAAUUUAGUAGUAAAGCAUAGUCAUCAGCACACAGAAAAUAAGUGGUGAGGAGGAGUUUGGCCAGAAAAUUGGCUAAGAAAAAUGGCAGUAUGACCAAGAAUGAAAAGAAAAAGAAAGAAAAGAAAAACUGCAGUAUGAGGCCUGUAAAGAACGUAUUGGUACUUGCACUUCCUCUUAUUAGUGACAUUCAUUAUUACAAAUAUAACCCAAUUUAGAAUGUAAAAAUCUUGCUGGAGCUCGGUGCAGUGGCUCACACCUGGAAUCCCAGCACUUAUGGGAGGCCGAGGCAGGAGGAUUGCUUGAGCCCAGGAGUUGGAGACCAGCCUGGGCAACGUAGUGAAACCCCUUCUCUACAAAAAAUACAAAAAUUAGCUGGGCGUGGUGAUGCACACCUGUGGUCCCAGUUACUCAGAAGGCUGAGGUGGGAGAAUCAGUUGAGCCCAGGAGGUCGAGGCUGCAGUGAACCAUCAUGGCACCACUGCACUCCUAGCCUGGACAACAGAUUGUUGCCCUGUCUGAAAAAUAAAAAAAAAUUUCUGAACUAUGCCAGUGAUAAUCUGGUAAAUUAUAAAUGUUGUCUGACUUUUUUCUUUGGAAAAUGAAUUAAUUCAGUCCUAACCUUCUCUCUUAAUCACAGGUUGCAAUAAAUUACCAGAAACGACUGGUUCAUACCUUAUACACCUCCAGUGUAAAUGUUAAGAGUUUGUAUAUUCUUAACAGACUCUUAACAAACAUCAGUAAUUCUUUCCUAGGGAUAAGUGAAAAUGUACUAACAUUAAUUCUAUUAUAUAUAUGCAAAUAUCUAGAGGAAAUACUGUUUAUAAGUUACUAAUACAUGUAUCCAUGGUAGUAGGUCUUGAAAAGUUACUUUUGUUGCCUAUUGGACACCCUCUAUUCUCCCUUCCUUAAUAAAACAAAAAAAAGAACAAACAAAAUUCUGUAGCAUCACUUCUCAACCAAGCUUUCUGAUAGGAAGUCCUCAGUCCAAUCUCAUUUUUGGCCUACUGUGCAUUUCUUACUUAACUUGCAAACAGAUCAUUAACAAGGACCUCCAAAUUACAGUAAAUUACAGUACUAAGAUUUUACUUGAACUUUCUAAAGCAUUCGCCAUUUUAAAUUAUUUAACUUUUAUACUCCUCCUUCCCUUUUGUGCUGUUUCCUUCCUGGCGCUCCUAAAUAUCUGUCCAUUCUUUGGACCUCUUCCAAAUUUUCAGAUAAUUAUAAUAGUGUGCGAAUGAUGCAAAGGUAAUGUGCCGUGGGAGAGAACAGAAGAGAGAAACCUAAUUCUGGCCUCAUCACAUUAUUGUUUUUUUAAAUUUAAUAACUAUUUUAGAUGCUUCAGUAGAUUUACAGUGAGGGCAAAAGAAAACAGUUUUCUUUAGGAGUAUGGAGGGAUUAUAUAGGAUGUACAAUAAAUACCCUAAGUACUUCAAAUCAGUUCAGAUCUUUAAAAUCCUAUUUUUCCUUCAGUUCUCAACUUCAAUAUCACCUACUCUGGGAGUCAUUCCCUACCAUGCUUGUUUGUUUGUUUGUUUGUUUGUUUGUUUGUUUUGAGACAGAGUCUCACUCUGUUGCCCAAGCUGGAGUGCAGUGACACCAUCUCUGCUCACCGCAGCCUCUACCUCCCAGGUUCAAACGAUUCUCUUGUCUCAGCCUCCCUAGUAACUGGGAUUACAGGCACUUGCCACCACUCCCGGCUACUUUUCAUACUUUUAUUAGAUGGGGUUUCACCGUGUUGGCCAGGCUGGUCUCGAACUCCUGAUCUCAAGUGAUCCACCCGCUUCAGCCUCCCCCACAGUGCUGGGAUUACAGGAGUGAGCCACAGCACCUGGCCACAUGCUUGUAAUUUCUUUAGAUUCUCACAUUGUAUCUUUCAGUGUCAUCUAACAUGCUGACUAUAAGCUCCUUUUUAAAAGAUGUACUGUACCUGGUAUAUAAUGGUAUGCACUCAACAAACAUUUGACAGUACCCCACAACUUGUUCAGGCCCUCAAUUUAUACCUGAAUUGACCUCCUAUCCAUCUCCAUUAUUUACUCCAUCCAAGACCAGUCUAAUCAAAUCUCUUCCCUGCCUAACAACUUUCAUUGGUUUUGUUUUGUAUACUAGAUACAAUUUAAACUUUUUUUUUUUUGAGAUGGAGUCUCUCUCUGUCACCCAGGCUGGAGUUCAGUGGCGCGAUCUUGGCUCACUGCAAGCUCCACCGCCUGGGUUCACACCAUUCACCUGCCUCAGCCUCCCAAGUAGCUGGGACUACAGGCGCCUACCACCACGCCCGGCUAAUUUUUUGUAUUUUUUGUAGAGACGGGGUUUCACCAUGUUAGGCAGGAUGGUCUCGAUCUCCUGACCUCGUGAUCCGCCCGUCUUGGCCUCCCAAAGUGCUGGGAUUACAGGCAUGAGCCACUGUGCCCGGCCCUGGGCAUGGGUAAACUUCUUAACCUAGCAUGAAAGUCUCUCCAUGAUAAGGUAUCAACCCAUCUCUCCAGUGUAUCUCCCAGCACUUUUCUCCCCUUUAUAUGUGCUCUAUAUGAGUUUCCUCAUCCAGGAAUGUUCUUCCCCACUUGUUCACCUUUAAAGUCAUCCCUUAAAACACAGCUUGGAUGUUAGCAGCUUCUAACUUCUAGAGUUUCCACUCUUCUAUUAAGCUUUGCUCUGUAUCUCACAACUGUAAAUUUUUCUCUCCCCUCUUAGUCUGUGAAACUCUUAAGAUUAAGAACUAUGCAUUAUUAAUUUUUAAAUUCCUGGAACUUUAUGGAGAGCUUGGCAGUCAGCAAUUAAUACAAGAUUUGCUGUAUGUAAUACAUUCUGCAAAUUUUUAUAUUUAUAUUGAUGGUUGACUAGAAAGUUACUGUGGAAAAUUCCUGCCAUCAAAUAUCUCAUAGGCUUGUAAAGGGGACCAUUCAAAACAAUUGCAGUAACAAAGGCAGGGUGCAGUGGCUCACGCCUGUAAUACCAGCUGAGGUGGGCAGAUUGCUUGAGCUCAGGAAUUUGAGACCAGCCUGGACAACAUGGUGAAACCCUGUCUCUAGUAAAAAUACAAAAAUUAGCCAGGCAUGGUGGCGCCCAACUGUAGUCCCAGAUACUCAGGAGACUAAUGUGGGAGAAUCAAUUGAACCUGGGGACGGAGGUUGCCAUGAGCCAAGAUCAUGCCACUGCACUCCAGCCUGGGAGACAGAAUGAGACUCCAUCUCAAAAAAGAAGAAUAAUAAUAAUUGCAGGCUGGGUGCAGUGGCUCACGCCUCAUGCCUGUAAUCCCAACACUUUGGGAGGCUGAGGCGGGUGGAUCACCUGAGGUCAGGAGUUCGAGACCAGCCUGACCAACAUGGAGAAACCCCGUCUCUACUAAAAAUACAACAUUAGCCAGUGGCGCAUGCCUGUAAUCCCAGAUACUCAGUAGGCUGAGACAGGAGAAUCACUUGAACCCAGGAGGCGGAGGUCGCAGUGAGCCGAGAUCGCACCAUUGCAUUCCAGCCUGGGCAACAAGAGCGAAACUCCGUCUCAAAAAAAGAAAAAAAAAAUAAAUAUAAUUGCAGUAACAAAUUUAUAUGAUAUUAAUUCUUUACCAAAGUACAUUCAGUUUAUUGGGAAGAUCAUGGUAAACAUCUUAAUUUUGUCAACUCUGCCUGAGGCAUUCAGCACAUGUAUUAAAUAUUUCUCAAACAACUUAGUGUCAUUACCCUAAUUUUCUUUUAGGCAAUGUUCAAACAACCAGCAACCACAAUUCACAUAAUUUGGCUUUAUUCAAAGUAUGAGGCACAAUUAUUGUUCAUUUUUAAAAGGGUUAAAAAGAUGUACGUUUUGGACUUUGUUUUUAAAACCAUAACUAAUUUGGUGUAUAUGAUUAUGUACUAUUUAGAGGCUGCUGGCACUAUGAUGAUUAAGUUAAUGUUUUCAGUACUGCUUAUAGACCUGAAAGCUGCCCUUCUCAGCUGGUUUGUGGGUACUCAAACAUACUAAUAAUGAUGAUGGCUAACUUAGGAAUGACCAUCUUCAAAGCUAGUGAUGACUUGAUGAGCUCAUAAGCAACACUGUUUCCAAUGCUGCAGCAACAUAGUCAAGAAAACACUUCUAGAAUGCUUAAUUUCCUGAAAGAUUUAAACCAAUAGAUUAAGACAAAACAUUUGUAGUCAUUUUUCAGAUUGAAAGAGAUAUCUUUUUGCAUCAUGUUUUAUUAGGUUCUUGUCUUUCAUUAUUUUGAAGAGCUGCCUAGCAAAGUGUCCAAAAAUAGAGCUGGCACUGUUUAUAAAAUGCCUUAAGGCAGAAGUUAAUCAGUCAUGUAGACACAGAUACAGAACUGAUUCAAAUGUCAAGUGGUAGUUGGACUUCAGGUGGUGACUUUCUAACUUUUACUGUGAUCCACAUUAAGAAAUACAGUUUCACAUUGUGACCUGGUAUACAUACACAGGAAAAAGUACUUGCUGCUUGUGAUAUACUCUGAUACCUUCUAUUGUUUUUUUUUCCUCUUGCUAGUCUUACACAUUACAUCGAUUUUACUAUCAUCCAAUGGUUUCAGAGAUAUUAGAUUCAAUGACUUAGGCCCCAAACCUUGAGAUUCUUUGUUCCUGAUUUUUCUGUCAGUGCCUUCCUAUUUCUGUCAGUGCCUCAGUAGUGUUUAUAAAUAAAUGCUUCUUUUUUUUUUUUUUUGAGAUGGGAGUUUCACUCUCGUUGCGGAGGCUGGAGUGCAAUGGCGCAAUCUCAGCUCACUGCAACCUCUGCCUCCCGGGUUCAAGUGAUUUUCCUGCCUCAGCCUCCCGAGUAGCUGGGAUUACAGGCAUGCACCACCACACCUGGCUAAUUUUGUAUUUUUAGUAGAGACGGGGUUUCUCCAUGUUGGUCAGGCUGGUCUCGAACUCCUGACCUCAGGUGAUCUGCCCUCCUUGGCCUCCCAAAGUGCUGGGAUUACAGGCGUGAGCCACCGCGGCUGGUCAAUAAAUGUAUUUUUUAAAAAGCAUGACCUAACGGAGCUCAUGAAACACUUAUGGGUGUAUCUUAGAUGCCAGACAUGGGUUUUAAAUUUAUCAACCUGUUUAGUUGUCUUAGCAGCCCUAUGCAGUUUCUGUAAAUUUUCUUUGAUUUUACAGAUGGGGCAAUAAGGCAUGGAGUGGUUAAGUUGCUAAUUCAAUGUACUUCCUUCUAGUUAGUGUUCUUAAAUUAGUAACUGUCAAGGCCAGGAUUUGAACCCAGGUAAUCCAAUUGUACGGGCUAUAUCCUAUAUAUCCUAUGCAUAGCCUAUGCUCCCCCUUAAUUUGGUGCUGGUCCUGCAGGGGUUAAAAAAAAUUGGCUCAGCAAGGUGGCUCCCAGCUUACACCAGUAAUCCCAGCACUUGGGGAGGCCAAGGCAGGUGGAUAGCCCUGAGUUCAGAAGUUCUAGACCUGCCUGGACAAUGUGGCAAAACCCCAUCUCUACCAAGAAUACAAAAAAAAAAAAAAAUUAGCCAGGCAUGUGGUGGCAUACGCCUGUAGUUCCAGCCACUUGGGAAGCUGAGGUGGGAAGAUUGCUUGAGCCUGGGAGGCAGAGGUUGCAGUGAGCUAAGAUUGCACUGCUGCAUUCCAGCCUGGGCAACAGGGUGAGACCCUGUCUCAAAAACAAAAAAAGAAAAAAUGUCUAGCAAUAGGUUACAGAGUUUCUCAAUCUCAUACCUACCAGUUAAUUCUUUGUUAUAAGGGGCUGUCCUGUACAUUUUAGGAUGUUGAACCUCCUUGGCUUCUGCCCACUAGAUGCCAGUAGCACCCCAGUUAUGACAAUCAAAAAUGCCUCUGGACAUUUUGUAAUGUUCCCAGAGGGACAAAAUCAACCCCUUUCUCAGAAUUCAGGGAAAACGUGGUACAUCUAUAUAAUGAAAUACUAUGCAGCCAUUAAUAUUAUAUUUUAGAAGAAUAUUUAAAACAGGCCUGGCAUGGUGGCUCACACCUGUAAUCUCAGCACUCUGGUAGGCUGAGGUAGGAGAAUCACUUGAGGCCAGGAGUUUGAGACCAGCUUGGACAACAUAGCGAAACCCUGUCUCUACAAAAAUAAAAGUAAAAAUAUAGACCAGGCGCGGUGGCUCACGCCUGUAAUCCCAGCACUUUGGGAGGCCGAGGCGGGUGGAUCACGAGGUCAGGAGAUCGAGACCAUCCUGGCUAACAUGGUGAAACCCUGUCUCUACUAAAAGUACAAAAAUAAGUUAGCCGGGCGUGCUCGGGAGGCUGAGGCAGGAGGAUGGCGUGAACCUAGGAGGCGGAGCUUGCAGUGAGCCGAGAUCGCACCACUGCACUCCAGCCUGGGCGACAGAGAGAAUAAAAAAAAUAAAAAUAAAAAUAAAAUAAAAAUAUAGCUCUGUGUGGUGGUGCACUCCUCUAGUCUCAGCUACUUGGGAGGCUGAGGUGGGAGGAUUGCUCGAGCCAAGGAGUUUAAAGCUACAGUGAACCAUGACCACACCACUGUACUCCAUCCUGGGCAACAAAGUGAGACCCUAUUCUAAAAAAAUUGUAAAAAUAUGUAUAUUAAUUUUUUUUUUGUUUUGAGAUAGGGUCUCACUCUCUCACCCAGGCUGUAAUGCAUUGGCACACCCACGGCUUGUUGCAGCCUCAACCUCCCAGGCUCAAGCAAUCCUUCCACCUCACUGUCCCUAAUAGCUGUAACUACAGAUGCCCACCACCAUGCCUGGCAAAUUUUUGUAUUUUUUGUAGAGACAGGGUUUCACCAUGUUGCCCAGGCUGGUCUCAAACUCCUGGGUUCAGGCUCUCCUUUCACCUUAGCCUCCCAAAGUGUUGGGAUUACAGGCGUGAACCACUCUGCCCAACCAAAAAAUAUUUAAAGACAAAGGAAAACAAAGUAGCAAGCUACUCUGUUUUACUAUGUUUCGUAUUUUAACAUCUCUGAAAUCUGGGUCCAUUUAACAGUGGAUGGAUAGUGGUCCUCCAAGCUUGUCAACCAAUGCCAUCCAUUUCCUGUGCUUACUAUAAGACAUCAAAAACACCAGAUUGGAAAAAAAUCCAAACUAUAAUGGUGAGAGAAUUGAUGAAUAAGAUGUGUUGUACAACAUUCCCAAAGACAGCUAGGUACCUAGCACCACAGCUUUAGUUCUUUUAUGGAUUCUGUAAGGAAAUGCUUGUUGCCAGUGCUUUCAGUGCUGCAAAGGAUAAAUUCUGUGGAAAAACCCAGACAAUCUCUGAGUCGGAAGUAAUAGUUCAAAAGUGAUGAAAUUUUAGAAAUACCUUUACCAAUGUAAUUUGCUUGUAUUUUCAUUUUUAUGUAUGGGCAAUAUAAUAAAAAUGUGUCUAAUGAAGUCUAAGAAAGCUUUCUAAGUAAGUACAAAAUUAAAUUCUAAGUGAUUUUUCCUAUGUGUAUAUUUUUCUUCAUUUUCCAGACUACAUAUUUUUGAAAAAUGUACCAUUAGUCUUUUGUAACUUAAAACGAGUUCUGUUGUUUAUCAUAUAAAAUGAAUGCUUUUUUCCCAAUUCUCUGAAGUCCAUUUAUUUUAAUAACACCAUUUGUUUUUUUGCCUUCUUCCUCAAAUGAUCCCUUUGUUUUAAUCAACCCUACCUGCUAUCCAUUCAUGCAAAAUACUUUUCCCAAUAGUCAUUCCUUUUCAGUAUGAUGUAUUAAAAGGACCACUGAACUGAAUGUCUGGAAACGUGGGUUCCAAUUCUACCUCAGCCUUCUGUGUUGUUUCCCUAGUAGUUCACUCUUCCUACUCUCCAUCAGAUUGUCUGCACUAUUCUUGAAUCCCUAAUUCCCACCCCUUCCCAGUUCUCUCUUUGGUAAAUAAUCUCACCUCCUACAACACUGAGGAAAUAGAAGCCAUGAGAAAAGAACUUCCUCUUCUGCCCUGAAAUCUGCAAACCUAUUUGCAUCCACAAAUUCUCUCCAACAGUCACUAUUCUGUCCCUUCUAUUUAAGGUAGUCGUGGGUUUUUGACUCCAUCUCAUUUUACCAUCUCAUUCUGUCAUUCUGUGGAACCACUUACUAAGUACAAAAUUUAGUUCAUGUGUGACAUACCUUACAAAACUUAAAUAUCUUUAAAAUUGAAAUUUAUCCGGUUUCAUUGUUUAUUCAUUUAAAAUUAAAAAUCAAGAAGUAAAACACUCUAUCAUCAAUAUGAUUUAGUAGAAACAAAUUAUAUCUUGUAGAUGUUAUUGAAAUUCACUUAUUAGUUGCUGGACAAUUGUUUACAUAAAAUGACUUUUUAACAAAGGGUCAAAGUUAAAACUCCUAGGCAGAUCUCAAAACUAUCAAGUAGUAUAGAUUUUUUCUUUUUGGUUUUGUAAUAUUUGUGUGGCUUUUUUUUUUUUAACUUUUAAAUUUUGACUGCCUUGAUUAAAGUUUCAGU